AGAGUUUGAUCAUGGCUCAGAACGAACGUUAGCGGCGCGCCUAACACAUGCAAGUCGAACGCGACUGGGGGCAACUCCAGUUGAGUGGCGCACGGGUGAGUAACACGUAGGUAAUCUCCCCCCGAGUGGUGGAUAACCCUCCGAAAGGAGAGCUAAUACAGCAUGAGACCACGGCUUCGAAAGGAGCUGAGGUCAAAGCGGAGGAUCGCAAGACUUCGCGCUUGGGGAUGAGCCUGCGGCCCAUCAGGUAGUUGGCGGGGUAAUGGCCCACCAAGCCAUAGACGGGUAGCUGGUCUGAGAGGAUGAUCAGCCACACUGGAACUGAGACACGGUCCAGACUCCUACGGGAGGCAGCAGUGGGGAAUCUUGCGCAAUGGACGAAAGUCUGACGCAGCGACGCCGCGUGGGUGAUGAAGGCCUUCGGGUUGUAAAGCCCUGUGGGGAGGGACGAAUAAGUUCCAGCUAAUACCUGGAGCGAUGACGGUACCUCCUUAGCAAGCACCGGCUAACUCUGUGCCAGCAGCCGCGGUAAGACAGAGGGUGCAAACGUUGUUCGGAAUUACUGGGCGUAAAGCGCGUGUAGGCGGCGAUGCAAGUCGGAUGUGAAAGCCCUCGGCUCAACCGGGGAAGUGCACUCGAAACUGCAACGCUAGAGUCUCGGAGAGGAUCGGAAUUCUCGGUGUAGAGGUGAAAUUCGUAGAUAUCGAGAGGAACACCGGUGGCGAAGGCGGCGAUCUGGACGAUGACUGACGCUGAGACGCGAAAGCGUGGGGAGCAAACAGGAUUAGAUACCCUAGUAGUCC
rnacentral:rRNA from 1 species